UGGGCGUUAAGUUGCAGGGUAUAGACCCGAAACCCGGUGAUCUAGCCAUGGGCAGGUUGAAGGUUGGGUAACACUAACUGGAGGACCGAACCGACUAAUGUUGAAAAAUUAGCGGAUGACCUGUGGCUGGGGGUGAAAGGCCAAUCAAACCGGGAGAUAGCUGGUUCUCCCCGAAAGCUAUUUAGGUAGCGCCUCGUGAACUCAUCUCCGGGGGUAGAGCACUGUUUCGGCUAGGGGGCCAUCCCGGCUUACCAACCCGAUGCAAACUGCGAAUACCGGAGAAUGUUAUCACGGGAGACACACGGCGGGUGCUAACGUCCGUCGUGAAGAGGGAAACAACCCAGACCGCCAGCUAAGGUCCCAAAGUCAUGGUUAAGUGGGAAACGAUGUGGGAAGGCCCAGACAGCCAGGAUGUUGGCUUAGAAGCAGCCAUCAUUUAAAGAAAGCGUAAUAGCUCACUGGUCGAGUCGGCCUGCGCGGAAGAUGUAACGGGGCUAAACCAUGCACCGAAGCUGCGGCAGCGAACGUAUCACUUAAAACGAUUCAGAAGCUUACGAUUGACGGAGCGAAGCGACGUCAAAGCGUAUACAAAGUCGAGUCGGUUUAAGGAUACGUUCGUUGGGUAGGGGAGCGUUCUGUAAGCCGUUGAAGGUGUCCUGUGAGGGGUGCUGGAGGUAUCAGAAGUGCGAAUGCUGACAUAAGUAACGAUAAAGCGGGUGAAAAGCCCGCUCGCCGGAAGACCAAGGGUUCCUGUCCAACGUUAAUCGGGGCAGGGUGAGUCGACCCCUAAGGCGAGGCCGAAAGGCGUAGUCGAUGGGAAACGGGUUAAUAUUCCCGUACUUGGUGUUACUGCGAAGGGGGGACGGAGAAGGCUAUGUUGGCCGGGCGACGGUUGUCCCGGUUUAAGCGUGUAGGUGUGUGUUCCAGGUAAAUCCGGUUCACUUUAACACUGAGGCGUGAUGACGAGGCACCACGGUGCUGAAGCAACAAAUGCCCUGCUUCCAGGAAAAGCCUCUAAGCAUCAGGUAACAUCAAAUCGUACCCCAAACCGACACAGGUGGUCAGGUAGAGAAUACCAAGGCGCUUGAGAGAACUCGGGUGAAGGAACUAGGCAAAAUGGUGCCGUAACUUCGGGAGAAGGCACGCUGACAC
rnacentral:rRNA from 1 species